GGCGGCCAGGUGUCCCGGCUCCCGGGCGCGCGCCUCAGGCAUGGUGGGCGGAGCCCGGGGAGGAGGCGGGUGGGGAACGGCCCGGGACUCGCACGUGGAGGUAUAGGGCGGACGCCUCCCUCAGCCAGGGCAAGACUGAGGAGCAGUUCCUGGGAGAAGCACAUUGUGGCUGCAGCAAGAUAUCGUGAAAUACCAGAUCAUAAAGGACAGAGGAAUCCUGAAGAGGAUAAAAUCAUGGAGAGAUGGGGCCAGUUAACAUUACCAAAGGAGCUGGGCUUGGAGGUAAGUCCUGGAGGUGGAGAAGAGACAAGCAAGCAAUCUAGGAGUAGGGAGGGAUGGCAAAGAUGCAGAAACUUGGUAGCAGGUGGAGAACAGGGUAAGAAUGAGAGGCCACCACUGCAGGCUCAUAUUUCUUGA
rnacentral:lncRNA from 1 species